ACCUGCAUUCGAAAGUGAUCAUGGGCUGCCCGUGCCCUGGUCAUUGAUAGUGCAGGGAGAGGAACUGCUGAAAGAAGUUUUCCCCGUGUUUGGAGGGGAAACUUGUCCCUUCUGAACCCUGAAGCUUUCGUACA